AGAGUUUGAUCCUGGCUCAGAUUGAACGCUGGCGGCAUGCCUUACACAUGCAAGUCGAACGGCAGCACGGGUGCUUGCACCUGGUGGCGAGUGGCGAACGGGUGAGUAAUAUAUCGGAACGUACCCUAGAGUGGGGGAUAACGUAGCGAAAGUUACGCUAAUACCGCAUACGAUCUACGGAUGAAAGUGGGGGAUCGCAAGACCUCAUGCUCAUGGAGCGGCCGAUAUCUGAUUAGCUAGUUGGUGGGGUAAAAGCCUACCAAGGCGACGAUCAGUAGCUGGUCUGAGAGGACGACCAGCCACACUGGAACUGAGACACGGUCCAGACUCCUACGGGAGGCAGCAGUGGGGAAUUUUGGACAAUGGGGGCAACCCUGAUCCAGCAAUGCCGCGUGAGUGAAGAAGGCCUUCGGGUUGUAAAGCUCUUUUGUCAGGGAAGAAACGGGAUUUUCUAAUACAAAGUCCUAAUGACGGUACCUGAAGAAUAAGCACCGGCUAACUACGUGCCAGCAGCCGCGGUAAUACGUAGGGUGCAAGCGUUAAUCGGAAUUACUGGGCGUAAAGCGUGCGCAGGCGGUUGUGCAAGACAGAUGUGAAAUCCCCGGGCUCAACCUGGGAAUUGCAUUUGUGACUGCACGGCUAGAGUGUGUCAGAGGGGGGUAGAAUUCCACGUGUAGCAGUGAAAUGCGUAGAGAUGUGGAGGAAUACCGAUGGCGAAGGCAGCCCCCUGGGAUAACACUGACGCUCAUGCACGAAAGCGUGGGGAGCAAACAGGAUUAGAUACCCUGGUAGUCCACGCCCUAAACGAUGUCUACUAGUUGUCGGGUCUUAAUUGACUUGGUAACGCAGCUAACGCGUGAAGUAGACCGCCUGGGGAGUACGGUCGCAAGAUUAAAACUCAAAGGAAUUGACGGGGACCCGCACAAGCGGUGGAUGAUGUGGAUUAAUUCGAUGCAACGCGAAAAACCUUACCUACCCUUGACAUGUACGGAACUUACCAGAGAUGGUUUGGUGCUCGAAAGAGAACCGUAACACAGGUGCUGCAUGGCUGUCGUCCGCUCGUGUCGUGAGAUGUUGGGUUAAGUCCCGCAACGAGCGCAACCCUUGUCAUUAGUUGCUACGAAAGGGCACUCUAAUGAGACUGCCGGUGACAAACCGGAGGAAGGUGGGGAUGAUGUCAAGUCCUCAUGGCCCUUAUGGGUAGGGCUUCACACGUCAUACAAUGGUACAUACAGAGGGCCGCCAACCCGCGAGGGGGAGCUAAUCCCAGAAAGUGUAUCGUAGUCCGGAUUGUAGUCUGCAACUCGACUACAUGAAGUUGGAAUCGCUAGUAAUCGCGGAUCAGCAUGUCGCGGUGAAUACGUUCCCGGGUCUUGUACACACCGCCCGUCACACCAUGGGAGCGGGUUUCACCAGAAGUAGGUAGCCUAACCGCAAGGAGGGCGCUUACCACGGUGGGAUUCGUGACUGGGGUGAAGUCGUAACAAGGUA
rnacentral:rRNA from 1 species